CUACAGGUCUCACUUCAAUCAAAAGGAAAGGAUCAUACAAGGACAUGAAUACCAAAAAUUUGGGACAUGGGAACCAUCAAAUGUCUGCCAUGCUUAGGCUACAGACACGAAUCUUAGAACUCUUAUCAAUACGCCAGGGAUUCAGUCUAGGUUCUGAUGCUCACUGCACCAUCAUUGAGAUGAAGAAUAUUGCCAGAUGUGGAACCUGCAGAAGCAGGGGGCUGACUUAAGAGAUAAGGAUCUGCAGACUCUGACAUCCAUGCCUACAUCACCAGGACUUGAAGGACAGCAGCACAUCUUCAGUGAGUACCUACUAUGAGGUAAUCACU